rnacentral:lncRNA from 1 species
CAUAACCAGGUCAACACGAUUUCGAUACGAAUCUGUAUAAGUCCAAUACUAACAUGAAAAUUUCAUGUUGUGUCACGUGUCAUAUUAAAAAUUGCCACACCUGAAUGAACCUAAUUGAUUGAUGGAAGACAGAGUGACUUUUGUGAGGGAUUUGAACUUGAUAAGAUUAUGGAAGAGGUCAUUAUGGAAUUAACAUUGCUCGUUAGGGAAGAGGUCAACUUUGAAGUCCUUCACAUAGAUCAGCAUAGA